UAGUGAGUUUGAUCCUGGCUCAUAACGAACGCUGGCGGCAGGCCUAACACAUGCAAGUCGAACGGGAUCUUCGGAUCUAGUGGCGGACGGGUGAGUAACGCGUGGGAACGUGCCCUUUGGUUCGGAAUAGCCCUGGGGAAAACUGGGAGUAAUACCGGAUGUGCCCUUCGGGGGAAAGAUUUAUCGCCAAAGGAUCGGCCCGCGUUGGAUUAGGUAGUUGGUGGGUAAUGGCCUACCAAGCCGACGAUCCAUAGCUGGUUUGAGAGGAUGAUCAGCCACACUGGGGACUGAGACCAGGCCCAGACUCCUAC
rnacentral:rRNA from 1 species